UGGGGACGCACUGUUUCAGUUGAGCUCCUGUUUGGUUUUGUGUCUCCGCGGUGUUUCCAAGAGUCUCGGCGUUUCUACCUCUUAGCACCCUUUCUUGCCACCCUUUGUCCUGUGGAAGCCCAGAGACAUCAGCGGUUGCAACUGUGCUACUCGCUGCUCGGCAUGGAAGGGUCAGGUACCGCAGUUCAGCGCUCUUGGCCCCGCAGGUCCUCGGGCAUCCCUGUGCCCCGUCCUGUACAUUGUUAUGCUCCGACUUCCUAGGGUCGAAGUUAUUGCCUGCUGGGUUUUAGAAGCUAUUGCUUUACGUCUGAGAAAAAAAUCCCAGAAAGGACAAAAAAUAAUAUCCAAGGAUAUUUUGGCACUAAUGGCGCAAUCUGUAGCAAGAAAGUUGAGCAGUCUGAACUGUUGAGACUUCCAAGGAGACUUCAGAGAACCAAAACAGUGUAAAGGAAAACAGGAAAAAAGACUUGUUAGACAUUAUUAAGGGCACGAAAGUUGAAUCGAGCACAGUAAAUGUACAAACAACAAAGCCACCCAGCAGAAGUCCACUUAAAAGCGACGACUGGCGGGCCUCAAAGAGCUGCAGAACAUGCUCCAAAGAAGAGGAAAAUACAUUCAUGGGGAAGAGACAUAAUAGUUUUGACAUUACGGCAGUUACAGCACCUGAACAUGUUUGUUAAGAAUAACUGCUUCUCAGGUGGAGAAAUAAUUUCAUCUCUUCAAGAUGUCCUUAGGUUUUGA
rnacentral:lncRNA from 1 species